rnacentral:rRNA from 1 species
UCCGUACGUGAACCUGCGGAAGGAUCAUUGUCGAACCCUGCACAGCAGAACGACCCGCGAAUCGGUUACAACCGACGGGGGGCGGGGGGCGCUCGUCGCCCCCUCGCCCUCCAUGCGGGCGGGGACCCCGCGUCUCUUUGCCCGCAAACCGAACCCCGGCGCGGAACGCGCCAAGGAAAUCGAACCAAGAGAGCCACGCUGGAGGCCCCGGACACGGUGUGCCCCCGGCGUCGGCGUCUUAAUAAUUAUUCAAAACGACUCUCGGCAACGGAUAUCUAGGCUCUCGCAUCGAUGAAGAACGUAGCGAAAUGCGAUACUUGGUGUGAAUUGCAGAAUCCCGCGAAUCAUCGAGUUUUUGAACGCAAGUUGCGCCCGAAGCCAUUCGGCCGAGGGCACGUCUGCCUGGGUGUCGCGCAUCGUUGCCCCCCCAAACUCCGGUUCGGGCGGGGCGGAAGUUGGCCUCCCGUGCGUGCCUGCGCGCGCGGUUAGCCCAAAAGCGAGUCCUCGGCGACGAGCGCCACGACAAUCGGUGGUUUUUUGGCCCUCGUUCCCCGUCGUGCGCGCCCCAUCGCCCGAACGCGCUCUUGCGACCCCUACGCGUUGCCUCGGCGACGCUCCCAACGCGACCCCAGGUCAGGCGGGACUACCCGCUGAGUUUAAGCAUAUCAAUAAGCGGAGGA